rnacentral:tRNA from 2 species
GCGGCCAUGGUGUAUCGGUAGCAUAAAGGUCUGUGGCACCUUUGGGCCGGGUUCAACUCCCGGUGGCCGCC